AGUGAACGCUGGCGGUAGGCCUAACACAUGCAAGUCGAACGGCAGCACAGUAAGAGCUUGCUCUUACGGGUGGCGAGUGGCGGACGGGUGAGGAAUACAUCGGAAUCUACUUUUUCGUGGGGGAUAACGUAGGGAAACUUACGCUAAUACCGCAUACGACCUACGGGUGAAAGCAGGGGAUCUUCGGACCUUGCGCGAUUGAAUGAGCCGAUGUCGGAUUGGCUAGUUGGCGGGGUAAAGGCCCACCAAGGCGACGAUCCGUAGCUGGUCUGAGAGGAUGAUCAGCCACACUGGAACUGAGACACGGUCCAGACUCCUACAGGAGGCAGCAGUGGGGAAUAUUGGACAAUGGGCGCAAGCCUGAUCCAGCCAUACCGCGUGGGUGAAGAAGGCCUUCGGGUUGUAAAGCCCUUUUGUUGGGAAAGAAAAGCAGCAGGUUAAUACCCCGCUGUUCUGACGGUACCCAAAGAAUAAGCACCGGCUAACUUCGUG
rnacentral:rRNA from 1 species